rnacentral:rRNA from 1 species
UACGUAGGGGGCAAGCGUUGUCCGGAUUUACUGGGCGUAAAGAGCGUGUAGGCGGCCAAACAGGUCCGUUGUGAAAACUGGAGACUCAACCUCCAGACGUCGACGGAAACCGUAUGGCUAGAGUCCGGAAGAGGAGAGUGGAAUUCCUGGUGUAGCGGUGAAAUGCGCAGAUAUCAGGAAGAACACCAAUGGCGAAGGCAGCUCUCUGGGACGGUACUGACGCUGAGACGCGAAAGCGUGGGGAGCGAACAGG